GAUAGUUCAGUUGGCUAGAGCGUGGUGCUGAUAAUGCCAAGGUCGCAGGUUCGAGCCCCAUAAACA